UGAGUAACACGUGGGUGAUCUGCCCUGCACUUUGGGAUAAGCCUGGGAAACUGGGUCUAAUACCGAAUAUGACCACGCUCUUCAUGGGGUGUGGUGGAAAGCUUUUGCGGUGUGGGAUGGGCCCGCGGCCUAUCAGCUUGUUGGUGGGGUAAUGGCCUACCAAGGCGACGACGGGUAGCCGGCCUGAGAGGGUGACCGGCCACACUGGGACUGAGAUACGGCCCAGACUCCUACGGGAGGCAGCAGUGGGGAAUAUUGCACAAUGGGCGCAAGCCUGAUGCAGCGACGCCGCGUGAGGGAUGACGGCCUUCGGGUUGUAAACCUCUUUCAGCAGGGACGAAGCGCAAGUGACGGUACCUGGAGAAGAAGGACCGGCCAACUACGUGCCAGCAGCCGCGGUAAUACGUAGGGUCCGAGCGUUGUCCGGAAUUACUGGGCGUAAAGAGCUCGUAGGUGGUUUGUCG
rnacentral:rRNA from 1 species